UACGGGGGGGGCAAGCGUUGUUCGGAAUUACUGGGCGUAAAGGGCUCGUAGGCGGCCAACUAAGUCGGAUGUGAAAUCCCCAGGCUUAACCUAGGAACUGCAUCCGAUACUGGAUGGCUUGAAUUCGGGAGAGGGAUGCAGAAUUCCAGGUGUAGCGGUGAAAUGCGUAGAUAUCUGGAGGAAUACCGGUGGCGAAGGCGGAUCUCUGGGCCAUUACUGACGCUGAGGAGCGAAAGCGUGGGGAGCGAACAGG
rnacentral:rRNA from 1 species